UACGUAGGGUGCGAGCGUUGUCCGGAAUUAUUGGGCGUAAAGAGCUUGUAGGCGGUUUGUCGCGUCUGCUGUGAAAAUCCGGGCGUUAACCCCGGACCUGCAGUGGGUACGGGCAGACUAGAGUGUGGUAGGGGAGACUGGAAUUCCUGGUGUAGCGGUGAAAUGCGCAGAUAUCAGGAGGAACACCGAUGGCGAAGGCAGGUCUCUGGGCCACUACUGACGCUGAGAAGCGAAAGCAUGGGGAGCGAACAGG
rnacentral:rRNA from 1 species